rnacentral:rRNA from 1 species
UACGGAGGGUGCAAACGUUGCUCGGAAUCAUUGGGCGUAAAGCGCACGUAGGCGGUCGGCUAUGUCGGAUGUGAAAGCCUCGGGCUUAACCCGAGAAGGGCAUCCGAAACUGGCCGGCUUGAGUACGGAAGAGGGUCUCGGAAUUCCCGGUGUAGAGGUGAAAUUCGUAGAUAUCGGGAGGAACACCAGUGGCGAAGGCGGAGACCUGGGCCGAUACUGACGCUGAGGUGCGAAAGCUAGGGGAGCAAACAGG